UACAUUCUUUCUGUUGGUGGCCUUUCAAGUUCAUAUUUAGCCAACUUGUCAUGAGCAUCCAAAAGCACACACACAAAGUAGUAGCCUUUCAACUGCAAAACUAUACUACUCUGAAAAGAUUUCAUUUGAUCCAAUAGCUUACUCUCUUUGCCAGGGUUGGUUCUAUUGCUAAACUUCAUACCGGGAAAAGAUGUAGCUGUAUUUCAGCUCAUUACAAAAUGAUAGAUUACACCUACAAUAUAUACACAAAGCUAGGUACAAAAAGACCCUCAGAAUUUGAAAGGAAGAGAACUUCAAAGACACCUACAGUCAUGGAAAAUGAAGGAGAAAGAAAAAACAACUUUGUGGUAUCAUUUUCUGCUCUUUGCAAGGACGCUGUCAACGUUCUGGAUUUCAUGGAGAGGUUAAAGAAUGAAGAAGACCAAAAUGCUGUCGACAUAGCGGAUCAAAUUGAAGAGCUGAAAUCGGUGCUUGCAUUUAUUUGUACGUACAUCCAGAUUUCUUAUUCUGAUUUGGAAGAGUUUGAAGAUAUAAUGAGUGCUGCAAGACAAUGGGUUGAGAAUUUGCUUCGACCAAUUUUGGAUGAUGUUGACAGUAACGUUGGGUGUAAAUACACAAUGGAUCAUGUUCUUCCUAGCCUCAUGGAUAAUAUCAAUGAUUUUAUCAGCUUGUGUCAUCAUUCUACAUCAAGUACCAUGAUGACUGACGAGCAGUUGAACUUCCUGCUCCAGAAUCUCCAUCAUCGAUGCAAGUAUCGUGCUGAACAGAUUUUUCCAUUAGAGACUCAGGAUGAGAUUCUUCAGAAUGUGUCUGUCAACAUGAAAGAUUUCCACGGGUUGAUAGUGAAUGGUUGCAUUGAGCACGUGAUUGUUCAAUAUGUUUUGCCUCAGUUUCAACUCAUGGCUGAGAGAGUUGGAAUCUUCCUAUGGCAUGAUCGACUUGACAGAGGAUAUUUUCAAAAGGUUCCCCAAUAUUCAAGGUCUUGAAUUUAGUCUCAAGGAAUCAUGGGAUUAUUCAACAGAGGGAUAUUGGUUCCCGAAAUUGGAUUUCCUAACUGAACUAGAUUUCCUUAGAGUAGAAUUUGAAAGUUCAAACACAAAUGACAGUACGCCCUCUGUAACGACAAAUUGGUCGUGGGAUUUUCACUUCCCUUCCAAUUUGAAUACAUUGUCGUUGUUUGACUUUCCUCUGACAUUCGAUUCUCUAUCAACAAUAGCGAGACUGCCCAACCUUAAAGAGUUGUACCUUAGGAGAACACUCAUCCAAGAGGAAGAAUGGAACAUGGGGGAGGAAGACACCUUUGAGAAUCUCAAAUAUUUGGAUUUGAAAGGAAUGACUCUCGCUAAGUGGGAGUUUGAAGUGGAAUCCUUUCCCGUGCUUGAGAAAUUAGUACUGCAGGGAUGUCAUAAACUUGAUGAUAUUCCAUCAAGUUUUGGCGAUAUUUGUUCAUUGAAAAUCAUCAAACUUGUAGAGAGUCCUCAACUUGAAGAUUCUGCUAUGGAGAUUAAACAAUGUGUUGAAGAUAUGACGGGAGAAGACAAGCUUCAGAUCCUUGGCCCGAAUAAUAUCCCAUUAUCUAAGACAGAUCCUGAGAAUUUGGAAGGAAGGGUUGGAGAAGUUACUCUGGUAGAAUGAAGAAAAUGAAGGAGAAAUAAAGGAGGAAACAAACAACUCAUCGAACCCUUCCCUGCUUCCCCGAGCUCUUCCGACAUGCUCAGUUCACACCUCCUAGUUGGCGUGCCGCUGCUAUGCCUAGAACUGUGAGUUUGCUGCUACAGAAUGCCAGCGACUUCAACUGUAAUAAAGUUACCGAGAAAGUCCAAUUCAAGAAGAAGUGAGAUAUUCGUAGUGCAAAGAGUUUGAAUUGUGAUGCAAUGUGGUGAAUUUACGUCACCAAGAAUCAGCCACCGAUAAGCAUUUGGAGUUGAUAGACUGUUGUUUCUAAUGAUCAAGAUGUUCAAAUAGGUGCUGCUGACCAUGCUGCAAUAAUUGCAAGUUGAAUAUCUUCGACAGGCCCAGCAUGGCUAUCGGCCUCUUUCACUGAUGAACAUGCUUCUCCUGUUCCUUUGUCAAGAAUCCUCAAGGCCUCCAUUGUUUUUUCUCACAAUUUGAUGCCAUUUGAAUCUUUCUGGGGCCAUGGAGGUUCUAGGUUAAAUCGUCCUAGUUUAUUCUUCUCCGAUUUUGGUUUCUAACCGUGGCUUCUUUUCUGCUAGUGGCACCUUUAAGUCCAUUAAAUAUAUGAUUGAUGAGUUUAGCGAAGAGAAAUCUGUUACCUAGCUGCUACUCAAUUGGAAAUGAAGCAACUUUUACUCAAAUACACUUCAUGGAAACUAUCACCUUAGAGGGAUUGCAUCACAAAGUUUAAUGCAGGAAGGUUCCGAUGGAGAUGAAGAAUCUAUCGCUUUGAGUUAUUCAAGUGGUUAGAGUAGUGCAGAUAUAUCACCCUGGCAUCUGCUUAAAUCAUCCAAGAGGAAUCCGAUAUUCGUUUUAUGUCAAAUAAUGCGUGGAGGAACUCUCGAUAUACCAAUAAAAACAAUUACAUGCAUGAAUGAAAUUUUGUAAGGAUAAUUUUCAUGUGGUAUUGUGAUCAUUAAUGUUGUACACCAAAGUACUAUUUC